GGUCCUACGGGGCGCAGCAGUCGGGAAUAUUGCGCAAUGGAGGAAACUCUGACGCAGUGACGCCGCGUAUAGGAAGAAGUUUUUCGGAAUGUAAACUAUUGUCGUUAGGGAAGAGAAAGGACAGUACCUAAGGAGGAAGCUCCGGCUAACUACGUGCCAGCAGCCGCGGUAAUACGUAGGGGGCAAGCGUUAUCCGGAAUUACUGGGUGUAAAGGGUGAGUAGGCGGCAUGGUAAGCCAGAUGUGAAAGCCUUGGGCUUAACCCAAGGAUUGCAUUUGGAACUAUCAAGCUAGAGUACAGGAGAG
rnacentral:rRNA from 1 species